rnacentral:rRNA from 3 species
UUAAGCGACUAAGCGUACACGGUGGAUGCCCUGGCAGUCAGAGGCGAUGAAGGACGUGCUAAUCUGCGAUAAGCGUCGGUAAGGUGAUAUGAACCGUUAUAACCGGCGAUUUCCGAAUGGGGAAACCCAGUGUGUUUCGACACACUAUCAUUAACUGAAUCCAUAGGUUAAUGAGGCGAACCGGGGGAACUGAAACAUCUAAGUACCCCGAGGAAAAGAAAUCAACCGAGAUUCCCCCAGUAGCGGCGAGCGAACGGGGAGCAGCCCAGAGCCUGAAUCAGUGUGUGUGUUAGUGGAAGCGUCUGGAAAGGCGCGCGAUACAGGGUGACAGCCCCGUACACAAAAAUGCACAUGCUGUGAGCUCGAUGAGUAGGGCGGGACACGUGGUAUCCUGUCUGAAUAUGGGGGGACCAUCCUCCAAGGCUAAAUACUCCUGACUGACCGAUAGUGAACCAGUACCGUGAGGGAAAGGCGAAAAGAACCCCGGCGAGGGGAGUGAAAAAGAACCUGAAACCGUGUACGUACAAGCAGUGGGAGCACGCUUAGGCGUGUGACUGCGUACCUUUUGUAUAAUGGGUCAGCGACUUAUAUUCUGUAGCAAGGUUAACCGAAUAGGGGAGCCGAAGGGAAACCGAGUCUUAACUGGGCGUUAAGUUGCAGGGUAUAGACCCGAAACCCGGUGAUCUAGCCAUGGGCAGGUUGAAGGUUGGGUAACACUAACUGGAGGACCGAACCGACUAAUGUUGAAAAAUUAGCGGAUGACUUGUGGCUGGGGGUGAAAGGCCAAUCAAACCGGGAGAUAGCUGGUUCUCCCCGAAAGCUAUUUAGGUAGCGCCUCGUGAAUUCAUCUCCGGGGGUAGAGCACUGUUUCGGCAAGGGGGUCAUCCCGACUUACCAACCCGAUGCAAACUGCGAAUACCGGAGAAUGUUAUCACGGGAGACACACGGCGGGUGCUAACGUCCGUCGUGAAGAGGGAAACAACCCAGACCGCCAGCUAAGGUCCCAAAGUCAUGGUUAAGUGGGAAACGAUGUGGGAAGGCCCAGACAGCCAGGAUGUUGGCUUAGAAGCAGCCAUCAUUUAAAGAAAGCGUAAUAGCUCACUGGUCGAGUCGGCCUGCGCGGAAGAUGUAACGGGGCUAAACCAUGCACCGAAGCUGCGGCAGCGACACUAUGUGUUGUUGGGUAGGGGAGCGUUCUGUAAGCCUGUGAAGGUGUGCUGUGAGGCAUGCUGGAGGUAUCAGAAGUGCGAAUGCUGACAUAAGUAACGAUAAAGCGGGUGAAAAGCCCGCUCGCCGGAAGACCAAGGGUUCCUGUCCAACGUUAAUCGGGGCAGGGUGAGUCGACCCCUAAGGCGAGGCCGAAAGGCGUAGUCGAUGGGAAACAGGUUAAUAUUCCUGUACUUGGUGUUACUGCGAAGGGGGGACGGAGAAGGCUAUGUUGGCCGGGCGACGGUUGUCCCGGUUUAAGCGUGUAGGCUGGUUUUCCAGGCAAAUCCGGAAAAUCAAGGCUGAGGCGUGAUGACGAGGCACUACGGUGCUGAAGCAACAAAUGCCCUGCUUCCAGGAAAAGCCUCUAAGCAUCAGGUAACAUCAAAUCGUACCCCAAACCGACACAGGUGGUCAGGUAGAGAAUACCAAGGCGCUUGAGAGAACUCGGGUGAAGGAACUAGGCAAAAUGGUGCCGUAACUUCGGGAGAAGGCACGCUGAUAUGUAGGUGAGGUCCCUCGCGGAUGGAGCUGAAAUCAGUCGAAGAUACCAGCUGGCUGCAACUGUUUAUUAAAAACACAGCACUGUGCAAACACGAAAGUGGACGUAUACGGUGUGACGCCUGCCCGGUGCCGGAAGGUUAAUUGAUGGGGUUAGCGCAAGCGAAGCUCUUGAUCGAAGCCCCGGUAAACGGCGGCCGUAACUAUAACGGUCCUAAGGUAGCGAAAUUCCUUGUCGGGUAAGUUCCGACCUGCACGAAUGGCGUAAUGAUGGCCAGGCUGUCUCCACCCGAGACUCAGUGAAAUUGAACUCGCUGUGAAGAUGCAGUGUACCCGCGGCAAGACGGAAAGACCCCGUGAACCUUUACUAUAGCUUGACACUGAACAUUGAGCCUUGAUGUGUAGGAUAGGUGGGAGGCUUAGAAGUGUGGACGCCAGUCUGCAUGGAGCCGACCUUGAAAUACCACCCUUUAAUGUUUGAUGUUCUAACGUUGACCCGUAAUCCGGGUUGCGGACAGUGUCUGGUGGGUAGUUUGACUGGGGCGGUCUCCUCCUAAAGAGUAACGGAGGAGCACGAAGGUUGGCUAAUCCUGGUCGGACAUCAGGAGGUUAGUGCAAUGGCAUAAGCCAGCUUGACUGCGAGCGUGACGGCGCGAGCAGGUGCGAAAGCAGGUCAUAGUGAUCCGGUGGUUCUGAAUGGAAGGGCCAUCGCUCAACGGAUAAAAGGUACUCCGGGGAUAACAGGCUGAUACCGCCCAAGAGUUCAUAUCGACGGCGGUGUUUGGCACCUCGAUGUCGGCUCAUCACAUCCUGGGGCUGAAGUAGGUCCCAAGGGUAUGGCUGUUCGCCAUUUAAAGUGGUACGCGAGCUGGGUUUAGAACGUCGUGAGACAGUUCGGUCCCUAUCUGCCGUGGGCGCUGGAGAACUGAGGGGGGCUGCUCCUAGUACGAGAGGACCGGAGUGGACGCAUCACUGGUGUUCGGGUUGUCAUGCCAAUGGCACUGCCCGGUAGCUAAAUGCGGAAGAGAUAAGUGCUGAAAGCAUCUAAGCACGAAACUUGCCCCGAGAUGAGUUCUCCCUGACUCCUUGAGAGUCCUGAAGGAACGUUGAAGACGACGACGUUGAUAGGCCGGGUGUGUAAGCGCAGCGAUGCGUUGAGCUAACCGGUACUAAUGAACCGUGAGGCUUAACCUU